UUUUCACAUAAAACAAUGUCAAUAAACUGUGUUUUAUUAUAAUUGAAUUGUUUUAUUGUUCGGAAGACUUUUUAGAGGCUAUUUCGGUAGCUUUCAGCAUCAAUGUUUCAAUUAAUAUUAUUGUUAAUUGCCGGGGGAAUUGUUUCAGCGCACAAAGAUAAAAUACAAAAUGAAGGGGAUUUGCAGUCGGAGUUAAUGCCUCAAGAACUGAAUCCAGCUUUUGUCCCGGACGAACCUCUACGUGCAAUCUUUCCACUACGACAGAGACGCGACCUCUCCGACACGACUCUUGUGAACGAUACGACACUCGCGCAAGUCAAGUCGUACAGUCGUAUCGUGGCAUGCACAGUACUGGCUGUAUCUGCUCUCAUAGAAAUCAUUGUCUACGUGGUUGAGUCGUACUAUGUAACGUAGGUGUCAAUAAAUAAAUUAAA